CGGCGUGCUUAACACAUGCAAGUCGAACGAAGCACUUUAACUUGAUUCUUCGGAUGAAGGUUUUUGUGACUGAGUGGCGGACGGGUGAGUAACGCGUGGGUAACCUGCCUCAUACAGGGGGAUAACAGUUAGAAAUGACUGCUAAUACCGCAUAAGACCACAAAGCCGCAUGGCUUAGUGGGAAAAACUCCGGUGGUAUGAGAUGGACCCGCGUCUGAUUAGGUAGUUGGUGGGGUAACGGCCUACCAAGCCGACGAUCAGUAGCCGACCUGAGAGGGUGACCGGCCACAUUGGGACUGAGACACGGCCCAAACUCCUACGGGAGGCAGCAGUGGGGAAUAUUGCACAAUGGGGGAAACCCUGAUGCAGCGACGCCGCGUGAGCGAAGAAGUAUUUCGGUAUGUAAAGCUCUAUCAGCAGGGAAGAAAAUGACGGUACCUGACUAAGAAGCACCGGCUAAAUACGUGCCAGCAGCCGCGGUAAUACGUAUGGUGCAAGCGUUAUCCGGAUUUACUGGGUGUAAAGGGAGCGUAGACGGCUGUGUAAGUCUGAAGUGAAAGCCCGGGGCUCAACCCCGGGACUGCUUUGGAAACUAUGCAGCUAGAGUGUCGGAGAGGUAAGUGGAAUUCCCAGUGUAGCGGUGAAAUGCGUAGAUAUUGGGAGGAACACCAGUGGCGAAGGCGGCUUACUGGACGAUGACUGACGUUGAGGCUCGAAAGCGUGGGGAGCAAACAGGAUUAGAUACCCUGGUAGUCCACGCCGUAAACGAUGACUACUAGGUGUCGGGGAGCAAAGCUCUUCGGUGCCGCAGCAAACGCAAUAAGUAGUCCACCUGGGGAGUACGUUCGCAAGAAUGAAACUCAAAGGAAUAGACGGGGACCCGCACAAGCGGUGGAGCAUGUGGUUUAAUUCGAAGCAACGCGAAGAACCUUACCUGCUCUUGACAUCCCGGUGACCGGCAUGUAAUGAUGCCUUUUCUUCGGAACACCGGUGACAGGUGGUGCAUGGUUGUCGUCAGCUCGUGUCGUGAGAUGUUGGGUUAAGUCCCGCAACGAGCGCAACCCUUAUCUUCAGUAGCCAGCAUUUUGGAUGGGCACUCUGGAGAGACUGCCAGGGAUAACCUGGAGGAAGGUGGGGAUGA
rnacentral:rRNA from 1 species